rnacentral:rRNA from 1 species
UACGAAGGGGGCUAGCGUUGUUCGGAAUCACUGGGCGUAAAGGGCGCGUAGGCGGCCGCUCAAGUCGGGGGUGAAAGCCUGUGGCUUAACCACAGAAUUGCCUUCGAUACUGUUUGGCUUGAGACCGGAAGAGGUGAGUGGAACUGCGAGUGUAGAGGUGAAAUUCGUAGAUAUUCGCAAGAACACCAGUGGCGAAGGCGGCUCACUGGUCCGGUUCUGACGCUGGGGCGCGAAAGCGUGGGGAGCAAACAGG